UAGUUUUUCCUUUUCCUAAUUUUGAUUUUUCUGAGUCUUGAGCUAAUCCCUUCUUUUCUUGUAAUUAGGGCCUCCCCUCAGCAAGAAACCUGAUCUUACCCCUCAAAAGUCGCAAGCGGGCAUGGAUGUGUAACAAAGAGACACGGAAGUCCUCGCCAAGAUUCUAGAUGAGUUGAAGGUAUCCUUCUUAACUUUUGAGUGUUCAGUUAAUUCUAAAGUUCAAUGCUCUUGUACUUAGCUGAUUCUUGUUAUUCUCCAAAAUAGGCUACCAAAGCAUAGGGGACUUCACAAACCAAGCUUUCUUCUCCUCUAGCCUGACUUGCGCAUACUUUUCCUUCUCGGGCUAAGCACUCAAAGGUAAAAUCAUCACUUUCAAUACUUGUUAAUUAUGUAUUUAUGACUUUUAAAUGUUGACCUUAUUUUUGUUAUUUUCCAGGCAAUGAGAGAUACUACAGUGCCUCAGGUCGGGCAAGCAUCAAACCGUCAUACUUCUUUUAUUCCUCCAUCAAUGGUGGUUACUUAUACUUUUUAGUUCAAUCCAACAACUGGGGAGAUGCUCUACUUUGUAGAGGAUGACGGUACUUCUGUAAGUCUUAUCUCUUUAAGCCCUUUUAAGUUUUUCUUUAAGUUUCUUCACUUUGAACUUACACUCUAUAUGUUGUCUUUGCCAGUCUUCUCCCAUGCCUAAGACCAUUAUUCGACCAACACCAGCCACUGGGGAGCCUAUAGCCCCUAAGAUACAAGUUAUCUCAAAGGUGACCAGUUCUAAGGCUCCU
rnacentral:lncRNA from 1 species